GAAACAAACAAAAGAAGAGAAGACAAAGAAAAGGAAAUUUGAGAAGAGAAGGGGAGAGGGAGGGUGAGAAAAUCUCUCUCUCUUUUAUGCAUCAUCAUUUUGUUGUUGUUGUGUGUGUGUUUGUGUUUUUUUUUUGUCUUUUCCCUUUCUCUUUCUCUUUCUC
rnacentral:RNase_P_RNA from 13 species